rnacentral:rRNA from 1 species
UACGGAGGGGGCUAGCGUUGUUCGGAAUUACUGGGCGUAAAGCGCACGUAGGCGGCUUUGUAAGUUAGAGGUGAAAGCCCGGGGCUCAACUCCGGAAUUGCCUUUAAGACUGCAUCGCUAGAAUUGUGGAGAGGUAAGUGGAAUUCCGAGUGUAGAGGUGAAAUUCGUAGAUAUUCGGAAGAACACCAGUGGCGAAGGCGACUCACUGGUCCGGUACUGACGCUGAGGUGCGAAAGCGUGGGGAGCAAACAGG